CCUACGGGUGGCAGCAGUGAGGAAUAUUGGUCAAUGGGCGGGAGUCUGAACCAGCCAAGUAGCGUGAGGGAUGACUGCACUAUGGGUUGUAAACUUCUUUUAUAAAGGAAUAAAGCGAGGCACGUGUGCCUUUUUGCAUGUACUUGAUGAAUAAGGAUCGGCUAACUCCGUGCCAGCAGCCGCGGGAAUACGGAGGAUCCGAGCGUUAACCGGAUUUAUGGGGUUUAAAGGGAGCGGAGAUGGGUUGUUAAGUCAGUUGUGAAAGGUUGCGGACCAACCGUAAAAUUGCAAUUGAUACUGGCAGUCUUGAGUACAGUUGAGGUAAGCGGAAUUCGUGGUGUAGCGGUGAAAUGCUUAGAUAUCACGAAGAACCCCGAUUGCGAAGGCAGCUUACUAAACUGUGACUGACAUUGAUGCUCGAAAGUGUGGGUAUCAAACAGGAUUAGAUACCCGAGUAGUC
rnacentral:rRNA from 1 species